rnacentral:lncRNA from 1 species
ACCUAGACAAAUUUUAAUGACAAGCCUGACACCUGAAUAAAUUUUUGUUACCCAACAAAUUCAGAACCAUUUUCUCUCUCUAAACUCAUCUUUAUCAUAUCCAUUUUCCCUCUCUCUUUCUAAACUCAUUUUACUCAGAUCUAUAUUUCGUGUUUGCCGAUCAGAGCUUCAACUUUUAUGUCAUUUUCCGAAGUCGUUCUCUAACAUAACGCUAAAAGAAACCUUUUCAUCUCUUUCUCUCAUUUCCUUCGCAGCUUUAUAAGGGUUUUGGAAGACAGGCGAGGUUAAAAAAAAUCCCCAAUUCAUCACCAUGAGGUUCUUCUGAUCUGAGCUAUGAGCUUGCCAGAUUAUGAGUUCUCUCUUUUCUAGUGGUUUUUAUGGAUUCUGGGAUGCUCUCGAUUGAUCCAUGUUUCAUGGUGAUUUGGGUUCAUGCUGCAUCUACUGAAUAUCAUGUUCAUGCUCUGCUCUGGGUUCUAUUAAGGUUUCCAUCUCAGUUGAAUUGGGGACGAUUCUUAUUGAUUUUAUUCGUCUGAUUUGGUGUUUUACUUUCAAUCAAUUUCAAUUUUGGCUGGUUUGGUUUUGAUUUUUUUCUUAUAAUUAUUUGGUUUGGUUUUGAUUUGGUAUUAGGUAUUUGGGUUUCGGUGCUUUUAGUUUCACUCUUGCAUUUGGCUGGUUGAAUCUUGGGUUGCUGUCCCUCACCAAGUUUGGGCGGCCGGAAUCUGGGUUUUUGGCUCGUCUGAUUCCGUGUUUUCUUAGUUCUGGGUAUCAUUUUGUUUGUCUAUCUUUCAUAUUCAAAGUUUGGUUGGGCUUGAGUUGCAUCUCUUGAUGCCGUUAAUGUCGUGUAAUAAUGGGAAACAUGGAGGUUGUUCAUCCUGCAUAAAAGCAGCUUCAUCCGAGUUUAAUUUGAAUUGUUUACAGAGAAUGGGUUUAGAGAGAGAAAAUGGCAAACACUAAAUGAUGAUUACAUGAGUUUGAAAUUAAGUUGUUUAAUUUGUUUUAAUUAGAAUUUAAUAUUCUAUCUUCAUACUUUGUCACUAAAAUUUGUCUAGCCACGUCAGUAACGUUAGUUUAUGUGGCCGUUAACGGCAAUGACACACUUACCUAAAAUUUAUAAUGUCAAGUGUAUUUUUAAAAAAAAAAAAAAUUAAAAAUAUAAGUAAGAUAUCGGAGAUAUUUUUAAACUUUUGCCCUAGCAUAAAUUGAUAGGAAUUACAAAUGUCAUAGAAAUUAAAAUAUCGCUAAAGCAAG